GGCCCGCGCACACACAAGAUGGCGUCAGAGAACGAGAAGCACGAACACUAAGGAAUUUGUUCAGUGGUGUCUGUGUCUGUGAAUUAUAUUGAAGGAAAAAGAGUGUUUUGUUUAUAAAUUUAAUUGCAAAAACUGCACAUCGUCACACGGGGCGCGUGCACACACAUCGGCGCACACGCACACCCACGCCCAGGCGACACGCAAAACGCAAAACCGAGUGUGUGUUAUCAAUGGAGUGUGUGUUCCCCAACGCCAAGUGAAUUUUUUUCGUUGAGACCGAGGGACGGAAAAAAAUGGCGCCCGCAGCCAGAGCAACUUGACUUUCUUUUCGGUCUAUAUACAAGUUGUUCGCCCCCGUCUCGUCGUCGGCGAGCGAAUGCGGUGAUUUUAAUUCGAUUUCGUCGCAGUGCGAUAUAUCCCCAAGAAGAAACCUAACGAAUAUUGAUGAAAAAGUGCUUGUGGGACCCCCCCAAACGUAUUUGAAUUUGUUGUGUACAUUUUGGCUUCGAACACAGCCGCAAAAAUACCAUUACCAAUUUCCACUUACUACUACUAGAGAGGAGGCUAGUAUUUUGUACGUGCUUUAGAAUACAUACAUACAUACCUACAUAUACCACAAGCAAGCGAGAAGUGCAAUUACAUUUGCGUUUGGAAAUUUUGCGCUUUUUUCUCUUCCGUCCUCCCACCCAACAAAAAAAAUAUCCCCGCUCCCCUCUCCUCUCUCUCUUUCUCAACCCGCAUUGUGCUAAAUAAUGUGCGCCGCCCAGAAUCCGCCGCCCUUCGGCUAUACCUGGGGUUUUGCGGACAACGGCAACCGCGCCGCCGAAUCGGUACUGGAGAUAUCGCCCAACAUCAACUAUACGGUCAGCGGGGAGUCGAUGCCCUAUCUAUUAUCGACGGAUGGAUCAUUGGCAGUUCAAAAGGAUGUCAAAGGGCUCACAGCUGGCGGCAAAAAUAAUGUCGUUCGUCGCAUGUUUGUCGUAAACGAUCCUUCAUUUCCGCCUGGAACACAAAGAGUUAUCACUGCCGGAGGAGCAUCGACGGUGGUCAAGAAGCAGGACAACAAUCAGCAGGUCCUGAGCCUAGACAAGAACUAUCUGCUGGUGGAUCCGGCCACGGCCGCAGCAGCUGCAGCCGCUGCUGGUGGGGAUUCGGGUCUCGCCCACCACCAUACGUUGACCAACGGUAGCAUUGUUGAUGCGAAGACCGGACAGACGGUGCUAACCGCCGGAUCUGCGGCGGCCAAGUCGCACUUCAGCUCGAUCGGAGCACUGCAUCUCACGCAAGAGGAGUGCAACGAGAUCCUGAUCAAGCGCGCCAUCGCUGCCGGCCACCAUCAGACGCACACGAUCACCGCUGCCGACGGAUCCCAUCACCAUGCGUCCGGCGGGACACCAAGCUUUUGUUCCGUUGGCGGUGCAACAACACUCUUAGGUGACAUACUUCCUGGUAUUUCAGUUCAAGUACAGAAAGUUAUACAAGGACUGGAAGAUAACGAGGACUCGCAAGGCGAAGCACCCAACUUGAAGUUGGAGCCAGGCACAUUAGAGUUGUCCCCUAAGACCGAACUACAGGAAUCAAUGCAUUUCAGCGAAACGGACGCCACCAUCAAGAAGGAACGCCCGUACAGUUGCGACGAGUGCGGCAAGUCCUUUCUGCUCAAGCAUCAUUUGACAACCCACGCACGCGUGCACACAGGUGAACGCCCCCACAUCUGCACUCAUUGCGGCAAGAGCUUUGCGCACAAGCACUGUCUCAACACUCACCUGCUGCUCCACUCCACGGAGAGACCUUAUCAGUGCCAGGAGUGCAAGAAGAGCUUCACCCUCAAGCACCAUUUGCUGACCCAUUCGCGGGUUCACAGCCGAGAGCGACCGUUCGUCUGCCAGGAGUGCGGGCGCGCAUUUCCGCUUAAGCGGCACUUGGUCACGCACAGCAAGUUCCACGCCGGCGAACGACCCUAUGUCUGCGAGGAAUGUGGUGAGAGCUUUGCGCAGGAAAACCACCUGAUUAUGCACUCACGCUUCCACGGUUCAUUGAAUCCAUUUGUUUGCGCCGAAUGCGGAGCUUCAUUUCCACGCAAGUUCCAAUUGGUUAACCACGGACGUAUUCACGGCAAGAUUCCCCAUUCGUGCACUGUAUGCGGCAAAGAGUUUCUACAAAAGCGAACGCUAGUUUCCCACAUGAGGCGGGUACAUACCGGCGAACAGGCGCAUCCCUGUGUCAGCUGUGGUGAGGGAUUCCUUACCAAGGCCGAAUUGCACCAGCAUGUGAGGACGGCGCACAAUGGCGUCAAUCCUAACACGAGCAGUGCCACCAUCAUAGCAAAUCAACAGCUACAGCAGGCCCAUCAUCAUCAGGCUGGACAGCAAACGCAUCCGCAGACCAUUACCGUGGUGAGCAAUCCGGGUAACUCUACGUUGCUGACUGUAUCCACCACGGAUGCCAAUGGCGUGGCACGACCGCAGUUUGUGUGCCGCGAGUGCGGUAGUGCUUUCAAUAGCCGAGAAGCCUUGGCACUUCACUUGCGCCUUCACACUGGCGACAAGAGCCUGAUGACAGAUCUGUGUGCCUUGACAGCCGCGCUGCCGGGUCACUUCUUGAGCACGGCUAGCCUGAAUCCUGGCACCGUGGUCACGGCAAAUCCGAAUCUGGUGGGCCAGAGCCCUGUGCCAGUGCAGAUCAUAUCGUCCACCGGUCAGGUGAUGUCGCAGACCACGCUGGUGCAGGCCGCCAACUCGACCCAUCCACAAGCCGUAGUCACAGCGGUGCCUACGAUGCCCGUGCACGGCCAGCAGCAGCAUCUGCAGCAUGUGGCCCAACAGCAGCAGCAACAGCAACAACAGCAGCAGCAGCAGCAUGUUGUCUCCGUGGCGCCUGCCAACAAACCGAAGUCGCAUUUCUGCGCCAGCUGCGGCAAGGGAUUCGCCGCCAAGCACGGACUCAUGCAGCACAAUCGGCGUCACCCGAACGGCGGCUGCACGGUGCGCACACAUGUAUGCGAGUGCGGCAAGGCCUUCUUCCAGAAGAACCACCUGAUGCUGCACCAGCGCCAGCAUUUGGAGACGAAACCAGCCAUAUCGCAGCAACAGCUUGUUGUACCAACUACUUCUUACUAAGAAUUAAACGAAACAGAAAAACUGAAAAAAAUAUAAAUAAAACCACAAAUGAACAUUAAAACCUAAUCAAACGAAAACCAACUCGAGCGACAUCCAUUUGCACAUGCGCACACUCACAUGUUUGAAUGUAAAUCCAAACUCAGAUGUGAAAGGUACUGGAGACUUUUGAUCCAUUCCGUUCGGAUCUGUGUGAGAUGUGUGAGUGUGCUGGUGUGGGUGGCUAUGUGAAGGUGUGUCUGUCUAUGCGUGUCUCUUACCAAAUCUAUAAAUUAAAAGAAACCCAUAACUCUGCAAUGAAUACAAUCUAAUCGUAUAGUAUCAAAUCGAAUUCCAUUCAAAGGCCUCAGUUUGCGCGUUUAGGAGACCGCCGCCCAGCAGCAACUGGCGAAUGCCAGCGAACAGCAGCAGGUGCAGGUGCAAAUAAUGCCCGAUGGCCAGAUUCACGGAAAGGU
rnacentral:misc_RNA from 1 species